AAUAAACAAGGCACACACUCUGAGCUGCUAACACUAGAAUACACACACAGCACUCAAGUUGACAGGACCUGCAACCAAAACCAACCCACUAACUCCCUCUUCGCCUAACACACGGAGCGAGCACUUGGAGCUGGUGCCCCUUGAUUUAUUGGAAGACCCCUGCCUGGCAUGAAGGGAGAUGAAGACACAUGCUCCUUCAGUGUUUGGACUCCAUCACCUUCUGAUUGUUUUGGAGACUUCCAGAUUGCCCUAGGUACUUCCUCUUAUGGAAAAGCAGGAGUUCACAGAAC